GACGAACGCUGGCGGCGUGCUUAACACAUGCAAGUCGAACGGAAAGGCCCUGCUUUUGUGGGGUGCUCGAGUGGCGAACGGGGGAGUAACACGUGAGUAACCUGCCCUUGACUUUGGGAUAACUUCUGGAAACUGGGGCUCAUACCGGAUAGGAGCUCCUGCUGCAUGGUGGGGGUUGGAAAGUUUCGGCGGUUGGGGAUGGACUCGCGGCUUAUCAGCUUGUUGGUGGGGUAGUGGCUUACCAAGGCUUCGACGGGUAGCCGGCCUGAGAGGGUGACCGGCCACAUUGGGACUGAGAUACGGCCCAGACUCCUACGGGAGGCAGCAGUGGGGAAUAUUGCACAAUGGGCGGAAGCCUGAUGCAGCAACGCCGCGUGCGGGAUGACGGCCUUCGGGUUGUAAACCGCUUUCGCCUGUGACGAAGCGUGAGUGACGGUAAUGGGUAAAGAAGCACCGGCUAACUACGUG
rnacentral:rRNA from 1 species